rnacentral:rRNA from 1 species
UACGAAGGGGGCUAGCGUUGCUCGGAAUUACUGGGCGUAAAGGGCGCGUAGGCGGAUGUUUAAGUCAGAGGUGAAAGCCCAGGGCUCAACCUUGGAACUGCCUUUAAUACUGGAUAUCUUGAGUUCGGGAGAGGUGAGUGGAACUCCGAGUGUAGAGGUGAAAUUCGUAGAUAUUCGGAAGAACACCAGUGGCGAAGGCGACUCACUGGCCCGAUACUGACGCUGAGGCGCGAAAGCGUGGGGAGCAAACAGG